rnacentral:lncRNA from 1 species
CCAAGAACUUCCCUUUAGCCAAGCAAACAUGACACUCCCUCCUACCUCAUCACCACUCACCACAAAUUCAAGACGCAAGCGCAAACUCAACCACUUGCUGGCUCCAGAACUGACCCGAGAAAAGAGAAAGCGGAGGAAAACCAAGCCAAGUAAAAACAUUGAAGAGAUCGAGAAUCAAAGAAUAAAUCACAUUGCUGUUGAACGAAAUCGACGGCGUCAAAUGAACGAACAUAUCAGCUCCCUCCGUGCCCUUCUCCCACCAACCUACAUCCAACGAGUAAUAACAACAAAAAAACCAAAAAAAAGUUUCAACCUUUAAUCUGCAAAACCUUAUCAAAAACCCUUAAUUUGUAUUUGCAGGGAGACCAAGCGUCUAUAGUAGGGGGAGCAAUAAACUACGUGAAGGUCCUCGAGCAAAUCAUACAGUCUCUUGAAUCGCAAAAGAGAACGCAACAACGCAGUGAGGUAGUUGGAAACGCGAAGGACCAUCUCUCAGGCAUUUCGUCGAACGAGUUGUGGACGACUCGCGAAGAUCAAACUUGCAUCCCCAAAAUUGAAGCUACAGUGAUACAAAACCAUGUCAGCCUUAAAGUUAAAUGUCUAAAGAAACAAGGGCAACUUCUCAAAGGAAUCAUAUCACUCGAAAAGCUUAGACUCACUGUUCUUCAUCUCAAUAUCGCACCUUUGUCCCAUUCCUCUGUUUCAUAUUCCUUCAACCUCAAGGUAAACACUGCUCUUUCC